rnacentral:rRNA from 1 species
UACGUAGGGAGCGAGCGUUGUCCGGAAUCAUUGGGCGUAAAGCGCGCGUAGGCGGCCCGAUAAGUCCGCUGUGAAAGUCCACGGCUCAACUGUUGAAAGCCGGUGGAUACUGUCGGGCUAGAGUACGGAAGAGGCAAGUGGAAUUCCUGGUGUAGCGGUGGAAUGCGCAGAUAUCAGGAGGAACACCCAUAGCGAAGGCAGCUUGCUGGGACGUUACUGACGCUAAGGCGCGAAAGCGUGGGGAGCGAACAGG